GCCAAUCACAAUGUGGUUGCCGUGGCGACAGCUUGGCGCGAAGGCAGGAGGUUGACGUCAACUGAGCCAACGCGAGGGGCCCUGAGGAAGGGUCUGGAAAAGGGGGGGGGGCGGUGUGCGACCCCCAAACAAAGAAGGGGGUGAUGUGGAGAAAGGCCCUGUAACGACUCCCAAGUGCAAAAUCUCUGAAGAAAAAGAAAAAAACACCCAUACAAUUUGUGUAAAAAACCGAAAAUCAGCGGGCACAAACAUGUAUGUUGAAGUCUGUAGACAAACGAGAAAGUGGGAGACCAGACUUUCCUGAGACACACGAAAGACCCGAGACUAGCCUCCUAGUAAACGGAGAGCCCUCGAAAAGCGACGAGGUAAAGACCAAACCAAGCCCCCAAACGCGCAAUUCACGGGAAAUACAAAUGGCUGACAGACCUACGGGGCAAAAAUUGCGACCCGACUCGCAAAGAAACCCACGGAAAACCGAGAGUCCGGACGCGCGCGGUUCAGGGGCUCUCUGCUCAGGCAGGGCCGCGCCGGCUCCCACCGCGGUCCGCACGGACCUCGACCUCGGCCGCGCUGCGGAGAGCGGGGCUGCGGCGCGGGAGGAGACCCGGGAGCCGCGGGAACGACGGACCAAAGGCGCGACAGAGUAGGCGAAGUUGUGGAGAUGACCGCUUGUUUUUUGUUCUUGGAAGUCUCGCAGCGCCUCACCCAGCACGGAGUCUGGUGCACAGCAGAUCCUGUUUGUGGGGUGCAAAUGUGGGGCUCCCACUCCUGUUCCUCCGACUGUUUAAGGCAGCGGCCGUGGUGGUGGAUACCCGUCAUGGAGCCUGGCACACAGUGUGUCAUUGGCCUCAGGGAAGAGCCCGGGACAGAGAGAAUCUGGGGCAGGGUCCUGGCAAGACAGCCCGCAUGUACAUCCCUUCCGGGGCCUCCCAUGUCCCGUACGGGUUGCCACGAGGACCAUGGGAACCGAGGAAGGGUAAUUUUAUGUUCACUCCUGGAAAUGACAGUGAGAGAGCCUCCAGGUUGAGGGAGCAGCCAUGCAAAGGCCCUGAGCAUGCCCCCCACCGGACCCCGUCAUGGAGCAGCAGCCACAUGGCCCAAGCGGAAGGCGCCUCCUCACCAGCCAGCACCCCGUUUGCACGUCACUUGCCCGGAUCUCGGAAGAAGGUACAGAUUUGAACUGAGGCGUCAGCUCAGCCCUCAGAAGAAGCUGUUGUCCCUGAAUUGCCACCCUGGGUCUCAACUGGGGUGCUUGUGCCCCGCCCCCGCGCCAGGAAACACUAGAGACGCUGUGGGUUGUCACGACCGGGUGGGGGGUGUCGCUGCUGGCAUCUGGCGGGUAUAGACCCGGGCGGGGCAGGGGGAAGACUGCUCCGUGUCCUGCACUGCACAGCGCAGCUCCCAUAGCAGAGGACGACCCAGCUCAGAGCAGCCAGGCUGAGCGCCUCUGAGCAGCUUUGUCACAAUUCUCUGCUGCUCCAGAUUCUGCCUUCUUUCCCUCUAUUGUGUGUGUGUGAGUGUGAGUGUGUGUGCACCUACACUGUCUGAAUAUACCUUCCACGGUCUGUAUGUAUCCCAGCUGUGUGCCCUCAGGCCAGCUCCUCAACCUCUCUGGGCCAGGGUCACCUCAUCUUUAAAUUGGGUCUCCUCAAAGCACCCGCCCCUCGUGGUUGUUGGGAAAUGCAGUCAGUACGUCUCCAAACACAGUCACGUGCUGAGGUCCUGGGGUUAGGGCUUCAGCACGUGACUUUGGGGAGAUGCAGCUGGGCCUUGACAGCACAGCACCCAGGUGGGCAGGGAGCUGUGAGAGGAGGCGGAGGGCUUGGUAGGGCCCCACGUGUUUGAGGCCACGGUCCGUGUCUCGGCCGGCACCCUGAGUAUGGGAGACCUCCCCCCCCCAAGGACAGUGGGCACAGGACAGCCAUCCGAGCAGGGUGGGGCCCUGGGGCUGGAUGGGGGCCCGAGAGGCCCCAGGGAAAUCCAGGCAGGGCAGCUGGGCGUGGCUGGGGUCCGCGGGGUGGACGGGCCCAGGCCAAGAGGACUGAAGUCUGCCUCCAAGUCUCCAGGCUUGGAGGUACUGGCUGCUGGCUUCUUCCACCUUCCCAUCGAGACGAGACCGAAACCCUGCCUGUCCUCUCUGCCCCUCUGCCCCCCAGAGCGGGGACCGCCUGUGGCCACCAGCCUUGCGCUUUCUCAGGCUCUGCCCACUGGGCACACUUCUUAACAGCUGGACAGGUUUUAAAGCAAUUCCAUGAUGUUCUCACUCGCUCUUUUUUAGCUUAAAAAAAAAAAGUCUGCUGUAGAAACGUCAUUUUUAUUUUUAUUUAUUUUUUGUCUUUUUGCCUUUUCUAGGGCCACUCCCAUGGCAUAUAGAGGUUCCCAGGCUAGGGGUCUAAUCAGAGCCGUAGCCACCGGCCUACGCCAGAGCCACAGCAACGCGGGAUCCCAGCUGCGUCUGCGACCUACACCCCAGCUCAUGGUGACGCUGGAUCCUUAACCCACUGAGCAAGGCCAGGGAUCAAACCUGCCACCUCAUGGUUCCUAGUCAGAUUCGUUAACCACUGCGCCGUGACGGGAACUCCUGCUGUAGAAACUUUAAAAAAUACAUGUAAAGAUAAAUAAAAACUUGGAGUUCCCAUUGUGGUACAGCGGAAACGAAUCGGACUAGGAACCUCGAGAUUGCAGGUUUGAUCCCUGGCUCGCUCAGUGGGUUAAGGAUCCAGCAUUGCCGUGAGCUGUGGUGUAGGUCGCAGAAGCGGCUCAGAUUUUUUUUUUUUUUUUUUUUGGUUUGUUUUUGUUUGUUUCUCCUUCACCACCCCCCUCUUGAAAAAUUCAGAUAUAGUUGAUUUACAAUAUUAUAUAUAUUUCAGGGGUACGUAGCGAUCCGCAUUUUUAAAGGUUAUACUCCAUUGCUAGUUAUUAUGAAAUAUCGGCUAAAAUAGUCCCUGAGCUGUACCUUAUAUCCUUCAUUUAUUUAACACACAGCACUUUGCACCUCUUAAUCCCCUACCUCAUCUCCCCCCACCCCCUGCCACUGGCAACCCCUAGUUUGUUCUGAAUAUCUGUGAGCCUGUUUCUUUUUGGUUACAUUCGUGCGUUCGUGCCACAUUUCAGAUUCCGCAUAUGAGUGAUACCAUACAGUGUGUGUCUUUCCGCGCCUUGUUUCGGUAAAUCCAUGCUAUGCCCAUGACGCCCUCUGCUGGCCAUUCUCUUCAGUGCAUGGCAGUGGUUUCUCCUGAGUCAUCCCUCCCAAAGGGAGGCCUGGGGGGGGGCUCUGGACCCGGUGCGAAGUGGCUGGUGAGACGGGGCCUGUGCUGUAAAGUGUGACACACACCGAAUCUUAAGCACUGUUUGAGGAGAAGAAUGUUAAUGCUUUACACGGAUGAUGUGCGAUGACACGUGAUGGCGUUCUGAACACGGGUGGGCCCAGGAACAAGGCGGGGGGUGGGGGUGCCGACCCUCGGUGCCGUGGAAAAUCUGAGCAUGACUUAGAGUCAGCCCUCCGGAGCCACAGUUUCUCCAUCUCUGCAGUUGUGCGCCUAUGAAUGCAGCCAAGGGCAGGCAGAUCAGGUCAUACUGCAGUCUUUACUACUGAAGAAAAGCUGCAUGGUCACCUCCGUUGGGUUAAAGACCAAGGCUUAAAGCUCAUUUCACCUGUUUCUUAUUUUUUUAAUGAGGACACUAGGAAUGUUAAGUUAUGCCUGUGGCUCAUGUUCUGUUUAUUUCUCAUGGAUCUGGACUCUUAUAAAUGUAUAUCUUUCAGCCUCCAUGCUAUGGACACUUGUCGUCAGGUCACUUUGCUGGGGGGGGGGGCAGUCCUGUGCAUUGUAGGAUAUUGAGCAGGAUCCCUGAUCUAGAGAUGCCAGUAGCAGCCCCCUCCCAGUGGGAUAACCAAAAAUGUCUCCCCCUCCCAAAAAAAAGGAGUUCCCUCGUGGCUCAGCAUGUUAAGGGUCUAGCAUUGUCACUGCUGUGGCUCUGCCCACUGCUGUGGCUUGGGUUCAGUCCCUGGUCUUGGACCUUCUGCAUGCCGUGGGUGAAACCGAAAAACAAACCGAAAAAAGUCUCCAAACAUUGACAAAUUGUCCCAUAAGGGGCAAAAUCCCCCUCGGUUGAGAACCAGUGAUUUAUAUAAUAUAUAUAAAGCUAUCUAUAUUUUGUAUAUAUAUAUAUAUUGAUUUUAUAUGCAUGCAAUAUAAACAAUACAGCUGACCCUUGAACAACAUGGGUUUGAACUGAGUAGGUCCACUUACCCUCAGAUGUUUUUGAGCCGUAAAUACUGCAGGACUACACAAUGCGAGACUGACCGAGUAAAUGCAGGGCUGACUGGACUGCAUGGCGUGUCCGCACCCCACCCCCACGGUGUUCCAGGGCGAGCUGCGCAUUGACUAUGAAUUAUUUGCUGCACUGUUGAAAUGCGUGUCUGUGUGUGUGUGUGUGUGUGUGUGUGUGGUGAACCACAUCCCUGAACUCGGCCCACACAGGACCCCGCUGCGUGCAAGCUCUGUGUUCACUGCCUCACUCGAGUUUCCCUCUCGGCCCUCACGGUGCCCUCUGGGAUGGAUGGUAUUAUUCGCCUCAUUUGGCAGAGGAGGCAGGUGAGGGAGGGCCCCAGGCUGAGCAGCCACCUGGCCUGGACUGAAACCCAGGCGGCGUCUCAUCGGUAAGAGCGCCCCCCACCCACGGGCCGGCCUGGAGGAUCCUGGGACCUCGCGCAGCGCACAGCAGUGUGACCGUGGUUACACACCGCACUGGGUACCUGAGCCCUGCUCAGAGGGUAAAUCGCAAGUGUUCGUAGCACACACGCACCCAGCCGCACACGCACACACUCGGGGCGGGGGGGGGAGGAAAAAGAAGGCGAUGGCUGACGGCCUUGACUGUGAGGGUUGUUUCACAGCGUAGACUCACGGAAAUCAUCGUGUUGAAUGGCUCACAUGUAUCCCACCUUUAUGUGUCACUUAGACACCAAUGAAGCUGACACAGAGGUAAAGAACCCGGGGUCCCCCUGGGGUGGACCGUGUGCCCGUCGGCCCUGGGCUCUGAGCGCGCCCAGCAGGAAGGAGUCUAAAGCCCUGGGAGCAGGAUGAUAACUUUUACCUCCCUGGGAGGCCAGAAGAAUCCAGAAGCUAUGCUCCACUCCCGUCACCUCCUACGAGGCGACCUUGUAACAGGAAGGCACGAUUCGCCCACGCAUUCGUUCCCAAGUCAGGUUACGGGCGCUGCGGGCCCACUAAGUGCCCGGCAGAGGCUCCGAGAGCUGGGGCGGCCCAGACCCCCCCCUCCCCAGCUCUGCCCUGAACCGGAGUGAGAACUCACAACAUUAGAUGCAGACACAGCUCGUGGGGAGGCAAGGAGACGGGGAAAUGACAGAGGUGACGUUCUGGAAGAUUCUAGAACGUGUUUCUCUUUGGUAGAGCCCCAUGAACGCUGAUGCUUUUUCUCCACUGUGGAAAGAGCUUCAGAGUCGGGGGACGCGGGGGUUUGAGGGGAGCCACCUGCCCAGAGCUCUCCUUCUCAGGAAUCCCCUCCCCCAGGGAGCCCCCCUUGGAGUCCGGGCGAGGGUCUGAAGGCUCACGUACACCCGGUCUCGCUCGGGCGCCUGGAAAAUUCCAGACUCCGCAGCCCUCCUGCUCCCGUCGCAGCCCCCUCCUCUUCCGCGGCUGGCUGCGGUCUCCAUAGCAACGGAUGUCGCCAGCCGACAGCUCUCGAGGCUGACAAACGACCCAGCAGCCUGCUGCAGAGCGGAGGCGGGAGGGAGGAUGGGGCCAGGGCACCAGCUUGCGGGGGGGGGGGGCAUUAGUGGUCCGCUCACGACUUUGGCGCAAUUAAAAUGCGUCUUCAGACAGGGGUCUUUGCAGAAGGAAAGGGGGAGGGUCUCUGCGGGUUCUGCAGUCGCUAUUAGAAAUCCCAAAUCGCCGAAAGAGCUGUCAGCCUUGUCUGUUCUCCAACUUCUUCAUUCAUUCAUUAAACCACUUAUUUAUCCCACAGAUAUGGACUGGAUUAAACAGAUGGUGAACGUAGAUAAUUCUACAGAUAUGCUAAUUCUAUACCUGUUUCAGGCGCCAGGGUUUUUUCUAGAGACCCUGUGGAGGAUGGAGAAACAGCCGCAGGGCCUCCUCGAAGGUGUCGAAGACUGAGGCUUCGAUGCAGAGGCGGCGGCGCACAUGUGGAAAUAAGGUAUCCUAGGAUGGCAGGUACUGAGACGUUCCAGGAAGACAAAGCCACCAAUAUUCUUUUCCAUUUAGUUUUCUUCUUUUUUAAUGCUAGUACAUUUUCAACGGCGGUCACGUCCCAAGUCUGAACGUGAGCCUCUUAGGGAAAGUAUCGUGUGGACUUUCCUCCCCGUCCCAGGCCCCCUGCGCGGUUCCUGGGCUGUGGGACAUCAUCCUUAAGGAGAAAUCAUAAAGACGUUGCGUUGCCAGCAACCCCCACCUUUUAAAAAACAGAAUAGUGACUUUUGCACCCAUUUUUCUGCAUCUGGCUCUUCCUGACUUCAUGUGAAGACGGCAUAGCGUGGUUAAAAGCAAGGAGGGAACCCAACUGAGUCCCGGUUUCUCCCCCCCCCGGGGGGGGGGGUCUGGGCUUGACCCCUUGGGGCCUCAGCCUUCUCAGCACUCACAUGGGGUGGUGGUGAGGCUGAAGGGAAAGCCGCUGGACACAUUACAUGAAAUAGAUGAGUCUUGGAGCUCAUUCACCACCAGGACCUCAGCGCUUGUUCGUUUCACACGGAUUCGGGCAUCCAGUACAUGGCUGGCCCACCACAUCUCACCCUGGGGGCUGGAGGCCCGCCCACUCCUCUCUUAGCACACCCAGUCCUGCAGAGAGCUCCCACGCACAAGCCCACCUGACCGAUAUUCUCCCGAGGUGGACCUGCUGGGUGGCAGGGCACAAGCAUUCGAAGGUGGCAUUGAUAAUGCCACAUUGCCCUGGAAAGAUGGUGCCUUUUUACACGCCCACCAACUGUGGACAAGCGCUGAAGCGUCGCUGUAAUCCAGAGAGAAUUCGGCCUAAAAAUAUGGUUUCCAAUUUCUCUUGAAAGUUCAGAAGGCCAGAGAGCGCUGGGUUCAAAGUCACGGGUGGAGUUCCCAUCGUGGCGCACUGGUUAGCGAAUCCGACUAAGAGCUAUGAGGUUGCGGGUUCGAUCCC